rnacentral:lncRNA from 1 species
CAACAAAUCCGAUUUUAUUUUUAGCAUAUAAAGAAACAAUCAUCUUACGCCUCCAGCCCCCAUAACCACUACCCGAGAAGGGAGUGGGAACAAUAGAGACCCCCGGGACAUCAGAGGAAUAUACAAAAAGGGGACUGGUAGAAUCUAUCGAGGCGGAGGCACCAACAUUCGUAUUAGAAGCCAUAAUCAAACCGGAUAUUCACACACAAAACCAGAUAUUCACACACAAAACCAGAUACUCACAUAUGGAGCCAGAUAAUCACACACAAAGCAUACAAUACUCAAGAUAAGGAAAGAGUUACCCUCCUUCUUCGCGACCGGAGAAGAUCGGCCUUCAAUCAAACAGAGAAAACCCUAGGUACAAAACCCUAGGUG